rnacentral:rRNA from 1 species
UGCUGGAGCGAAUAGAAGUGAGCAUGCAGGCAUGAGUAGCGAUAAUUAAUGUGAGAAUCAUUAACGCCGUAAACCCAAGGUUUCCUACGCGAUGCUCGUCAUCGUAGGGUUAGUCGGGUCCUAAGCCGAGUCCGAAAGGGGUAGGCGAUGGCAAAUUGGUUAAUAUUCCAAUACCAACAUUAGUGUGCGAUGGAAGGACGCUUAGGGCUAAGGGGGCUAGCGGAUGGAAGUGCUAGUCUAAGGUCGUAGGAGGUUAUACAGGCAAAUCCGUAUAACAAUACUCCGAGAACUGAAAGGCUUUUUGAAGUCUUCGGAUGGAUAGAAGAACCCCUGAUGCCGUCGAGCCAAGAAAAGUUUCUAAGUUUAGCUAAUGUUGCCCGUACCGUAAACCGACACAGGUGGGUGGGAUGAGUAUUCUAAGGCGCGUGGAAGAACUCUCUUUAAGGAACUCUGCAAAAUAGCACCGUAUCUUCGGUA